GUUCUUAUAAAGAGGGAUCAUUGUACUCCAUCUCCAAUCCUCGAGCAUUUCCCCAACUUAAAAAUGCCAUUAAACAAUUCAGUCAACCACCUUAGACCAUCCUCUCCAGAAAACUUCCAAAAAUCUACAGAAAUCUCAUCAGGCCCCGUCGCCCUACCCCUUAGCAUCCUGUGAAUAGCCUCUUUGACCUUUUCUAUCUUAAAAUGUCUACAAUAACUAAAAUCAUGACACUCCUCUGAGUGCUCCAGCUUCUCUAACUCAAUAAACC
rnacentral:lncRNA from 1 species